rnacentral:rRNA from 1 species
AACGAACGCUGGCGGCAUGCUUAACACAUGCAAGUCGAACGAGACCUUCGGGUCUAGUGGCGCACGGGUGCGUAACGCGUGGGAAUCUGCCCUUUGCUACGGAAUAACUCGGAGAAAUUUGUGCUAAUACCGUAUGAUGUCGCGAGACCAAAGAUUUAUCGGCAAAGGAUGGGUCCGCGUAGGAUUAGCUAGUUGGUGUGGUAAAGGCGCACCAAGGCGACGAUCCUUAGCUGGUCUGAGAGGCUGAUCGGCCACACUGGGACUGAGACACGGACCAGACUCCUACGGGAGGCAGCAGUGGGGAAUAUUGGACAAUGGGCGGAAGCCUGAUCCAGCAAUGCCGCGUGAGUGAUGAAGGCCUUAGGGUUGUAAAGCUCUUUUACCAGGGAUGAUAAUGACAGUACCUGGAGAAUAAGCUCCGGCUAACUCCGUGCCAGCAGCCGCGGUAA